rnacentral:tRNA from 6 species
GGAGAGGUGACCGAGUGGUUUAAGGUGCACGCCUGGAAAGCGUGUGCGGGUUAACCGCCUGCCGUGGGUUCAAAUCCCACUCUCUCCGCCA